rnacentral:rRNA from 1 species
AGGACGAACGCUGGCGGCGUGCUUAACACAUGCAAGUCGAACGGAAAGGCCCGCUUGCGGGUACUCGAGUGGCGAACGGGUGAGUAACACGUGGGCAACCUGCCCUCAGCUUCGGGAUAACAUUUGGAAACAGGUGCUAAUACCGGAUAAUAACCUUUCAUCGCAUGGUGUGGGGUUCAAAGUUUUUCGGCUGGGGAUGGGCCCGCGGCCUAUCAGCUUGUUGGUGGGGUAAUGGCCUACCAAGGCGACGACGGGUAGCCGGCCUGAGAGGGCGACCGGCCACACUGGGACUGAGACACGGCCCAGACUCCUACGGGAGGCAGCAGUGGGGAAUAUUGCGCAAUGGGCGGAAGCCUGACGCAGCGACGCCGCGUGAGGGAUGACGGCCUUCGGGUUGUAAACCUCUUUCAGCUCUGACGAGCGCAAGUGACGGUAGGAGCAGAAGAGCACCGGCCAACUACGUGCCAGCAGCCGCGGUAA